AUACGUAGGUGGCAAGCGUUGUCCGGAAUUAUUGGGCGUAAAGCGCAUGUAGGCGGUUUGGUAAGUCGGUCGUGAAAAUGCGGUGCUUAACGCCGUAUGGCGAUUGAAACUGCUGAACUUGAGUGCAGGAGAGGAAAGGGGAACUCCCAGUGUAGCGGUGAAAUGCGUAGAUAUUGGGAAGAACACCGGUGGCGAAGGCGCCUUUCUGGACUGUGUCUGACGCUCAGAUGCGAAAGCCAGGGUAGCGAACGGGAUUAGAUACCCCGGUAGUCCUGGCCGUAAACGAUGGGUACUAGGUGUGGGAGGUAUCGACUCCUUCCGUGCCGGAGUUAACGCAAUAAGUACCCCGCCUGGGGAGUACGGCCGCAAGGCUAAAACUCAAAUGAAUUGACGGGG
rnacentral:rRNA from 1 species